AAUGGGCGCAAGCCUGAUCCAGCCAUGCCGCGUGAGUGAUGAAGGCCCUAGGGUUGUAAAGCUCUUUCACCGGUGAAGAUAAUGACGGUAACCGGAGAAGAAGCCCCGGCUAACUUCGUGCCAGCAGCCGCGGUAAUACGAAGGGGGCUAGCGUUGUUCGGAUUUACUGGGCGUAAAGCGCACGUAGGCGGAUUUUUAAGUCAGGGGUGAAAUCCCGGGGCUCAACCCCGGAACUGCCUUUGAUACUGGAAGUCUUGAGUAUGGUAGAGGUGAGUGGAAUUCCGAGUGUAGAGGUGAAAUUCGUAGAUAUUCGGAGGAACACCAGUGGCGAAGGCGGCUCACUGGACCAUUACUGACGCUGAGGUGCGAAAGCGUGGGGAGCAAA
rnacentral:rRNA from 1 species